rnacentral:rRNA from 1 species
UACGAAGGGGGCUAGCGUUGCUCGGAAUCACUGGGCGUAAAGCGCACGUAGGCGGAUCGUUAAGUCAGGGGUGAAAUCCUGGAGCUCAACUCCAGAACUGCCUUUGAUACUGGCGACCUUGAGUUCGGGAGAGGUGAGUGGAACUGCGAGUGUAGAGGUGAAAUUCGUAGAUAUUAGGAAGAACACCAGUGGCGAAGGCGGCUCACUGGUCCGGUACUGACGCUGAGGUGCGAAAGCGUGGGGAGCAAACAGG